rnacentral:rRNA from 1 species
UACGUAGGGUGCGAGCGUUGUCCGGAAUUAUUGGGCGUAAAGGGCUCGUAGGCGGUCUGUCGCGUCGGGAGUGAAAACUCAGGGCUUAACCCUGAGCCUGCUUCCGAUACGGGCAGACUAGAGGUAUGCAGGGGAGAACGGAAUUCCUGGUGUAGCGGUGGAAUGCGCAGAUAUCAGGAGGAACACCGGUGGCGAAGGCGGUCUCUGGUCGGCUACUUGACCUGCUGAGGAGCGAAAGCGUGGGUAGCGAACAGG